UUCAGAUAUGCUGUGGCGUGUUGCACACACAGGAAAAUUAGCUUUCCAAGUGGUAUGUCAACAUUAAUUUUCAUAGUUUUGUAAUAUCUCUAAUCAUAACCAAUGGGGUUAGACAAAAACACCUGCUGUCCUUUCUGCUAUUUGUAGGACAAAUUAAAUUCAGAGAAGCAUGACUACAGAGAACGGGAUACCCACCGUGGGGUAGGUGUCCUCAAGGCUUCUUGCCAUGUCAGUGGUUGGUGUUUUAACAUCCUAAAGGGGCUAACCAACUGCAAAUGAACACAUUUCCAUUACAUUUCUUAAUAGAUUUUCUGAUUCAAAGAUUGAGUGAGAUAAACGUGUAUUUAUUCACGGAAUGGUUACCUGAAGAGACAUUGAAGGGAUGGGUUGAAGCCAUAAAAUAUUUGGUUACUUGCAUAUGAAAUGCUUUUGAUGCUGUUACGCUCUCCUUGCUCAGUGAAUUUGUAUGUCUUGUGUUUCUUGACCUUUCUUUACAGAUUCCUGUACAGGUUUUUCUACACGACUGUAAAAAAGAGUGGUUUGGGUAUAAGGACACCAUAAUCCUUUCUCCAGCUUAAAAAGAUGAUUACUUCUUUAGAUCACGUUAGAGUCGAAGAGAAGGUAGCAGUUGCCACUCUUUGGUCUUUAAACCACUACGCUGUGCAAAAUAUACUUCACCUUCUCAACAUAAAGCUUUUGCAGAACAGGAAACUAAAAGGACUAAAUCCUUUUGUAAUCCAGUUGUUCCACAUGGCCACUGACUCAGUGUUAUUCAGGAGAAAUUACUCUAGGAAGAAACACCUCGUUAAAGGUUUUAGAGAUGUAGUAUCAAUCUUCACACAUUUUUGCUUAACAAAUUUUGACAAAAGUCUUGGGUAGUAUACACUAAAAUGUGCACACAAUACAUGCAAUUUAAUGAGUAUUGAGUUACUCCUCUGCAAGUAAUCACUGAAAGGCUGAAAGGACAUUAGAGCCAAUAUUAAGGAGCCUACAUUCAAUGUCUGUUAAUCUUUAACAACUUUUUCAACAUGAUAUUUUCAAAUGCACACAGAUAAUAGAGAUUUCCCCUGAGGUUUCAGGUAUUCAUUAGCCAGCAUCGACAGCUACCAAUAUUUUGUUUUACAUGUUUUAUCUACUCCCUUCCAAUUUUGGGGGGUAGUUUGGAAGGUUUUAAAGCAAAUCUCAGACCACGUGUUAUUUCAUGCAAAUAUUUUGUGUGCAAUUCUAUAUGCAUCCCCCAAAUUAAAAUGUUAGAAGACUAUUAACUUACAUAAUCACGACUGCCAUUGUCUCAUAACAAAAUUAAUCAUAAUUCACUGAUGGUGACUCAUACUCAAACCACAUUCCAAUUUCCCUGAAAGUCUGAAAAGAAUUAUUUUUAAUCCUUAAAAAUCAGGAUCCAAAAAAGUUCUGCUAUUUCAUUAGGUAGUUAUGUCCCUUCAGUCUUUUUCAGUGUUUCUUUGUUUCUUCCCAUAUCAUAGGUUUUUUGUUGUUGUUGUUGUUUUUUGAAAUAAGGCCAAGUUUUUUUUUUUACUCUCUGGAUUAUGGAUUUGAGUGAUAAAUUCUGCAUGGUGGUAUUUAACUUCAUUUACCCCUAAUUAAUUGCCUGUGGACAAAAGUUGACAUCAAAAAAAUAUGAUUAGAUCAAGUACAUUGUGCUUUGGGGCAGAGGAUAUGGAUUUCAUAAACAAUGCUGAAUAUUCACUACUUUUAUAUUUAAAUUAAUAUUCUGCCCUCCAAUCCUAAACACACAUCAUACACACACACAUUCACACAGACAUACACAAACACACACGGUAUUGAAAGCUCAGAUUUCAACCCAAGCUCUGUGGUCUACUAAAAAAAAAUUCAUAAAGAAAUGGCCUGUACUGUGUAAUUAAGCCAAAAACCGAGUCAUUGUGUCUAACCACAGCCUGCUAUUUCCUCUUGUACAAAUAAAAGUAAAAUUUUUAUACAGUAAAAAAUACAACAGGGACAAGGUGAAGAAAUGGGUUUACAAUAGACACGGCCCUUCACAGACGGCCUUCAUGUGGCCUCUAAGCAGGAAGGGACCGAGAUGUGACAUUUAUCAAGCAGCUGUUUAGGCACUUUACCUAACACAGUCAUAGAAGCCUCACUGCUCCAAGCUCAGUGUUAUUAGCACAGGGUUCUCACAGAGCAGAUAACUGAGACUCAGAGAGGCCGAGCGAGUUUCCUAAGGUCACAUGGAAUGAGUGAGCUGCAGAUUGGGGAUUGAGCCAGAGGGUGUCUACUCCAUACAGCACAACCUUACAAGUAGAUUGAUGACUAAAAUUACAGGAGGAACCCCUGUUCAAAAUGGACUCUUCCACUGCUCAUAAGCCUUUUGUUAUAAAUAUAGUCCCUUGCAUCCAGGAAAAAAACAGCCUGUGAUCCGAAUGAGCUAAACAUGGAAAUAUCAUCCCAAGAAGGUCCUAUUAGAAUAGGAAAUACUGGGUUAUAGUCCCAGCUUCACUACAAACUAAUUCUAAGUUUUCCUUGAAGUUUAGCCUUCAAAUCAUUACUCUGUGUGUAAACACGGUUAUUGAUUAGUAUCGUUAGUGGGUGUUUAUAUUUUAAUCUUGUAAUAAAUAAGCCUUUUUUACGAAGACUUAAUUUUGCCACUGUGGCUAACACUGACCGCUUUCUAUGUUCCAGGUGCUUUUCUAAACACUUCACCGUUAGUAACGCAUUUAAGACACCACCUGAGCCUGAGAGAGGUACUAAUAUCUUCUCUAUUUUGCAGAUGAGGAACGUGAAUUACAGUAAGGAGCAGAGCAAUUUUGAACAUGAACACGGAAACGGCCAAACUGGGAUUUAAACAGGCGUUUAAUUCUCAGACCAGCCAGAAGAACCAGAAGAGGCAGAGGAAAGUGUCUUCCUUCCCUACCCCUUCAAAUACAGGAAGUGACCAUUUCAUACGCCUUCGAAUACAGGAAGUGACCAUUUCAUACACCUUCGAAUACAGGAAGUGACCAUUUCAUAUGCCUUCGAAUACAGGAAGUGACCAUUUCAUGGUUGCGUGUCCUUAUCACUUGCCUUCAAAUUGUUAGAGAUAUUUUUCUUUUUUAAUUUGUUUUAUCCGUUAGCGAAAGGAGGUUAACUGCUUUCUCCCUGCUCAUUACAAAAGGUAUAU